UACGGAGGGUGCAAGCGUUACUCGGAAUUACUGGGCGUAAAGCGUGCGCAGGCGGCUUUUCAAGUCAGGGGUGAAAGCCCAGAGCUCAACUCUGGAAUUGCCUUUGAGACUGAGAGGCUUGAGUACGGGAGAGGUGAGUGGAAUUCCCAGUGUAGAGGUGAAAUUCGUAGAUAUUGGGAAGAACACCAGUGGCGAAGGCGGCGACCUGGGCCAAUAUUGACGCUGAGGUGCGAAAGCGUGGGGAGCAAACCGG
rnacentral:rRNA from 1 species